rnacentral:rRNA from 1 species
GCGUGAGUGAAGAAGGCCUUAGGGUUGUAAAGCUCUUUUGGCGGGGACGAUAAUGACGGUACCCGCAGAAUAAGCCCCGGCUAACUUCGUGCCAGCAGCCGCGGUAAUACGAAGGGGGCUAGCGUUGUUCGGAAUUACUGGGCGUAAAGCGCACGCAGGCGGAUCUGUAAGUCAGGGGUGAAAUCCCGGGGCUCAACCUCGGAAUUGCCUUUGAUACUGCAGAUCUCGAGUCCGGGAGAGGUGAGUGGAAUUCCUAGUGUAGAGGUGAAAUUCGU